GAGGCUUCUCCUUCCUUGCCAGUAGUAAUCGACUCACUACCUAGUCUCUGCUUUCUCCAGCAGAUGAUUGUAUUCAAAUGAAAGCAGCAAGUCUAGGUCAAGACUGGAAGGAAAAAUAAUGGCUGAUGAACACGGUGAAGGCUCAAAACUCAGACUGUGAUACAUAAGCCUUUCUUCUAGUGUGGUCCCACAAGGAAUUUCAUUAACAUAGCUGAGAGAAGGCAGUGGAUUGCUGUGCUGGCACUGGACUGACUCCUCCAGGCAGAAGAGUCCCUCCUGGCAGACAGAGAGGAUUCCUUAAGCCAAGAUUGCACCAAAGCUGAUGGGGUGUAGAACUGCAUUUUCUGACAUGGAGAAUUAUGCCUUUCUCACCUGGGUCAAACUCAGACCCAAGCUCUCCAUUUGCUAUUCUGCCUCCUAGAUAAUCAUAGUAUUAAUUUUAAA